rnacentral:rRNA from 1 species
CCUACGGGGGGCUGCAGUGGGGAAUAUUGCGCAAUGGUCGAAAGACUGACGCAGCGACGCCGCGUGGAGGAUGACGCCCUUCGGGGUGUAAACUCCUGUUGCUCGGGACGAAACCUCCUUUCGAGGAGACAGACGGUACCGAGUGAGGAAGCACCGGCUAACUCUGUGCCAGCAGCCGCGGUAAUACAGAGGGUGCGAGCGUUGUCCGGAGGCACUGGGCGGAACGGGCGCGUAGGCGGCUUGGUACGGGGAAAGAUCGGGGCUCAACCCCGAGUCGGCCGUGCGAACUGCCGAGCUGGAGCACGGUAGAGGCACAUGGAAUUCCGGGUGUAGCGGUGGAAUGCGUAGAGAUCCGGAAGAACACCGGUGGCGAAGGCGGUGUGCUGGGCCGUAGCUGACGCUGAGGCGCGACAGCGUGGGGAGCAAACAGGAUUAGAUACCCUAGUAGUC